UUCUGUGUUUUUUAUUAUUUGGUGUGUAUGUGUUUUGUACUUAGUUUUAUUGCGAAUUAGAUGUAUUGCUGUGUUAUGAUAUUAAAUUAAAUUGGUGUUCUCCUAAUUCCCCAUUCUAGUAUGACCAGCAGAGUGCAGCUGAAGCAGGACAGGCUUGUAGGGAUUACUGAUUCCUCCAGCGGCUAGAGACGAUCAGAACGUGAGGAUGGAGAGACCAGCAAGUGGUCAAUAGAAUCGGAACAAAAAAAUAGAGUAAAUCAUAGAGUAAAACAAGAACACGCCCACUGAAGUUCCUUAAGUUUCGUUUCUUCCACCAUCUUGUUAUCCCGCAUUGGAACGGAGGCGACGGUUAGCUGUGUGCCAGGAUGCAAGCUGUGUGUGUCAAAUACAGAGAUCGACAGAAAUACAUCUGUUUUGAAGGCCAACUGACUUGCAGUUUGUUUUUGGAAUGUGCUGCAAAAAAGUUCAGCAUCCCAACCUUGGACUUAAAAGUCUUUGACUCAAAGACUGAAGUGGAUGAGGAGGUUUUUGAGCUCCUUUUGAAAAGUCCAAACCUUGGUGUGCUGGAAAUUUGUGAAGCACAAGAUCUCAAUCCAGAAGAUAAUCAUAUGCAUCAGCUAAGUUGUGCAGCAAGCAGCUCCUUGACCAGUUCCAGUGGAGAAACUGAAGUGGACUCCGAUGACACCAUUAUAUUGCAACAUGACAGAGUACUGAAGACGCCUCUCUUGCCCAACAUAUCUCUGCACAUUUUAGUCCAGAUCCUUACCAUAGAAGGCUCUGGACUUCACAAAAAAAAUAUGAUUGAAAAUGUUCUAAGAAUAAACCAGGAGGAGACAGGAUCAUCAAUGAAUAUGCACAGACAAAAAGCCUAACAGAUGGCGUGACAUGGUCAAGAUAUUGGUUGCGCAAAUGACCAGUGAACAUGGACAAGAACUUCCAGAUGUAUCAAAGAGGACUAUGCAAGGGUAUUAUUACCUUGUUCCCUUACCUGGCUGAUCCUAAGAGCAGAUUUGGCUAUGAGCAUUAUUACAAUGCAGAAGAUGGGAGUGGGUAUCUGGCUUGGAGACUGAAGUUUGUCCAGAGAGAAGCUUCUAAUGGACAAAAGAAGGUCCCCAGACAGGGGGACCAACAACUGACAGGGACUGUUUGAGAGAAGAAGACUGCCUUAUGACAGCUUGUGUUCUGAGGCCAUUGUGCUGAUGAAGGAACUGUUAUGAAGAAGAUGAAACAGACUUUCAACUAUCACCAGAAGAUGAUUCAUGACCCAGUGAAGUCAUCUAGUAUCUUUUUGGACUUCCCAAGAUUCCUGGACAUAGGAGGAUUACCAUCGCUGCAAAGUUCCUGGAGAAGUGGCCCACUGUCUACAAGCAGAAAGCCGUGGUCUCACACAGUCUGAUGACCUUCAGAACCUUCUUCACAAUGCUGAAGGCACAACAGAAGUGGAAAAUGGAUGGGACAGUUACAUGUCAUCCAUUUUGAUCCUAGUGCACCUCCUGCCACUGUCACCUCACGGCCGCAAGAGACCAGGAAAACUCUCAGCCAGACAAGCCAGUGAACAUUUUGUGAAGUUUGUCAAGACGGGAACCAGGAACCAACAUCCAGGGGCACCUUGAUGGCAUCACAGAAAGGCGUCAACCAUACCUGCUUGCAGUAGGGACACAGAGGAGUGUGAUUCAUAAGUACUUCAUUGUGAUUGACGAACAUGCCAUACCUUGUAAAUCACCAGGCUCUCUUGCCUGUUUUGAUGAGCUUUUUAAAGCUCACUUUGUGUUCGGCACUUCAUAUGACCAUGAUCUGGUCAAUGUGUACAAUUUUCUGCAGACUGCCAUUUAUGAGAUAGAUGUUGAGACAACCAAAGUGAAUCCUAGGGUUGCAGAGUUGAGGGCUAUAUGUUGUUGUGAAAGAUGAGCGGUUACUGUUUGUUACAUUUGCACUGCAAACAGUGUGUCUGAAUGAGCAUUUCAGUGCUUUUCAAGUUGUGUACAAGAGACGGACCUCAUGUUAUUUAUGUAGAAGAGCUUUUGAUUUACAGGUGUCAUACAGUCAUGAAGAUGCAAAUGUUUAUAUUGUUCCAUACUGUUUCUUGUGAACAAUAAAAAUGACUGUUCAAAUACUGA